rnacentral:rRNA from 1 species
UGAGGAAUCUUCCACAAUGGACGAAAGUCUGAUGGAGCGACGCCGCGUGAAGGAUGAAGGCCUAACGGUUGUAAACUUCUUUUCUGAAGGAGCAUAAUGAGAGUACUUCAGGAAUAAGGGACGGCUAAAUACGUGCCAGCAGCCGCGGUAAUA